CGUUCUCAGGGCGGAGUGAAAUUCUCCACCGGUGGUGAUUUAAAAAAUAUAUAAGUCCACGAGCACAAAAAAGUGUUGAUUUGGUGAAAAUCCAAAACCGACGGUGAUAGUCCGGAUGGGAGAGAAU
rnacentral:ncRNA from 1 species